rnacentral:rRNA from 1 species
GGAAUAUUGGGCAAUGGCCGAGAGGCUGACCCAGCCAUGCCGCGUGCAGGAAGAAGGCCUUCUGGGUUGUAAACUGCUUUUAUCUAGGAAGCAAAUACCCUUGCGAGGGGAACUGACGGUACUAGAUGAAUAAGACCCGGCUAACUCCGUGCCAGCAGCCGCGGUAAGACGGAGGGUGCAAGCGUUGUCCGGAUGUAUUGGGUUUAAAGGGUGCGUAGGCGGCCCGUUAAGUCAGCGGUGAAAUCCCACGGCUCAACCGUGGAACUGCCGUUGAUACUGGCGGGCUUGAGUUCGGUCGAGGCGGGCGGAACUGGUGGUGUAGCGGUGAAAUGCAUAGAUACCACCAAGAACCCCGAUUGCGUAGGCAGCUCGCUGGGCCGAAACUGACGCUGAGGCACGAAAGCGUGGGGAGC